rnacentral:lncRNA from 1 species
CCACAGCUACUAACCGAAGAGAUAAGGCUUCUUUCCCCCCUUCCUUUUUGCUAGUAAUCUUCAAAUCUUUUUAUCUUUGAUUUUUCCUGAUAAACUUUUAUUUGUACUUGAAAAGCAAGAUUCCCACGAAUUGAAGAAAUCACCUUGAAUUUCAAUACGCCUUCUGAUCGUGAACAAAACAAGAUGUGAUGGUGAUAUGAAUUGGACUCGCAAUCAACUCCCUUCCUAGAGGUGGUGCGUGAAAUUCAAACUGAAUCGUUUUAAAUAUAUAUUUAUAUAGGAAAACACGUGUCAAUACUUUUUUUAAUAUAAAAAAAAAUAAAAAUUUUAUUUUAAUGUAUUGUUAAAUCAAAAAAUAAUUUUAAAAAACAUUAAAUAGCAUUACGACACUUGUCAAAUCAAGUGGUUUGGUUUGCAGGGCUUUUCUAAGGAUUGUAACUUGUGAGGCUUAGAGAGCAGAGCAGGACAGGCAGAGACUUUAGGUCACAAACAGAGAAGGUUGUUUGUAUCUUGAUCCUGUUCAGAAGCAGCUUCUGUUUAUUUAUUAAUAUUAAAAAAUAAAAAAAUAUUUCAAAAAAUAUAUUCAAAUAAAAAAUACAUUUAAAAAAAGAAUUAAAAACAGGAAAUUAAAAGGACAGACACGACAGAGGCUCAGGGCUGCAGAGAGGUCCCCAGAAUGGCUUAUGGUCUCCCCUAAAGUGACUCAACAUUGGCCAUAGGUUAUCUGACACCUGACAUUUUGCGUGUGAUCAGUGAGCAAAACCCACCUCUCAAUCAAGUGGAUGGAAUUUAAAGUUUCGAAAAUACCUUCUGUGCACCACACUCAAAGCUGCUGCUACAGCCAUUUUCUUUCCUUUUCUCAACAGAGGAAACGAAAGUUGGUCUCCAUUAUUCCAUAUGCCUCUUGAAAAUCACUGUGCCACGCUUCAUCACAGAAAUAAUCUUCAAUUUCCCAUUUUCUAUAAUUACUUUCAAUAUAAAAAUAACAAGAAGGAUGUAACCCUAUUAUUAAUAUCCCGUGAUAGAAAAUAAAUAAUGCAUACUUGUUAGCUUGGUUAGAAAUGGGAUUUCGGUUGUUUUUGUUUUUUUUCUUGGAAGGUAUCAAAAUAAUAUUUUUUUAAUUUUUUAAAAAUAUUUUUAAUAUUAAUAUAUCAAAAUGAU